GGUCUUCGGAGGCUCUGAGUGCCGGUUACGUAACGGCGGCUCCGAGCGCCUGGGGUCCUCCCAGAGCUCCUGGGCUCGAGCUCUUUCCAUGAGCACCUCGGGCCUUCUCGUGGCUACCUCUGUGCUUCCCUGAGACCUGAUUUGUGAGCCCUUUUUGCUGGUUUUCGCCAGAGGUUUUUUACCAAAUCAAAAUUUCAACCAUUGACUAACACAGGGGUUGAAGGAAGAGGACGGGGAAGUUCAGUGAUGGAUGGGAACAACAGUCUUAGAUGAUAGGGAUAAUUAAGAGGGCAUAGUUGGGGACUUGUGGUUAUUUUGCACAGCUCUCUACUCUCAGUCCAAUGUUUGGAAAUGAGGAUGCUCCACGUGCUACCCUAAAGAACCAUUUAUAGAGGAUAUUAACCAGAAGGUUACAUACUACAAUCUGGAAGGAAUAAUCUCAAUAUCAUGAGUGCCAAUUAAGUGCCUCAGAGAAUACAAAGGUGACCAUAACUGGAAUGCUUAACAAGUACCAACUGAAGAAAUGUAAUGAAAAUUAAAGUUUAAUUUGUUUUC
rnacentral:lncRNA from 1 species